UACGGGGGGGAGCAAGCGUUGUUCGGAUUUACUGGGCGUAAAGGGCGCGUAGGCGGCCACUGCAAGUCAGUUGUGAAAUCUCCGGGCUUAACCCGGAAAGGUCAACUGAUACUGCAGGGCUAGAGUGCAGAAGGGGCAACUGGAAUUCUCGGUGUAGCGGUGAAAUGCGUAGAUAUCGAGAGGAACACCUGCGGCGAAGGCGGGUUGCUGGGCUGACACUGACGCUGAUGUGCGAAAGCCAGGGGAGCAAACGGG
rnacentral:rRNA from 1 species